rnacentral:rRNA from 1 species
AUUGAACGCUGGCGGCAGGCCUAACACAUGCAAGUCGAACGGUAACAGGAAGAAGCUUGCUUCUUUGCUGACGAGUGGCGGACGGGUGAGUAAUGUCUGGGAAACUGCCUGAUGGAGGGGGAUAACUACUGGAAACGGUAGCUAAUACCGCAUAACGUCGCAAGACCAAAGAGGGGGACCUUCGGGCCUCUUGCCAUCGGAUGUGCCCAGAUGGGAUUAGCUAGUAGGUGGGGUAACGGCUCACCCAGGCGACGAUCCCUAGCUGGUCUGAGAGGAUGACCAGCCACACUGGAACUGAGACACGGUCCAGACUCCUACGGGAGGCAGCAGUGGGGAAUAUUGCACAAUGGGCGCAAGCCUGAUGCAGCCGUGCCGCGUGUAUGAAGAAGGCCUUCGGGUUGUAAAGUACUUUCAGCGGGGAGGAAGGGAGUAAAGUUAAUACCUUUGCUCAUUGACGUUACCCGCAGAAGAAGCACCGGCUAACUCCGUG